UAGCUUGAUUGCUCUGCUGGCCUAUU
rnacentral:piRNA from 1 species